rnacentral:rRNA from 1 species
CCUACGGGGGGCAGCAGUGGGGAAUAUUGCACAAUGGGGGAAACCCUGAUGCAGCGACGCCGCGUGCGUGAAGAAGUAUCUCGGUACGUAAAGCUCUAUCAGCAGGGAAGAAAAUGACGGUACCUGACUAAGAAGCCCCGGCUAACUACGUGCCAGCAGCCGCGGUAAUACGGAGGGGGCAAGCGUUAUCCGGAUUUACUGGGUGUAAAGGGAGCGUAGACGGCAGGACAAGUCAGGAGUGAAAUCCCGGGGCUUAACCCCGGAACUGCCUUGGAAACUGUGCGGCUGGAGUGCAGGUGGGGUAGGCGGAAUGCCUGGUGUAGCGGUGAAAUGCGUAGAGAUUAGGAGGAACACCGAUGGCGAAGGCGGCUUACUGGACUGUAACUGACGUUGAGGCACGAAAGCGUGGGGAGCAAACAGGAUUAGAUACCCCAGUAGUC